rnacentral:lncRNA from 1 species
AUGGGCAAAAGAGAUCCUGAGAAGCCGAGAGACAAAAUGUCAUCAUAUGUAUUCUCUGUGCAAACUUGGGAGGAGCAAAAAGGGAAGCACCCACAUGUUUCAAUCAACUUCAGAGAGGUGGAAGACCAUGUUUUCCAGCAAGAAAGAAAAACUAGAAGACAUGGCAAAGGCGUACAAAGCCCAUUAUAAAGGAGAAUCCCAGUGGAGAGACAAAAAAGAAGGUCAAGUAUCCCAUCACACCCAAGAGGGCUUCUUCAGCCUUUUUCUUGUUCUGUUCUGAGAAUCACCCAAGAAUCACAGGAGAAUAUCCUGGCCUAUCCAUUGGUGAUGUUGUGACGAACCUGGGAGAAGAGGAAUAACACUAUAGCAGAUGACAAGCAGCCCUAUGAAAAGAAGGCUGCAAAGCUGAAGGAAAAAUACAAAAGGAUAUCCCUUCAUACUGAGCUAAAGGAAAACCUGGUGCAGCAAAAAGGGAGUCGUCAAGGCUGAAAAACCCAAGAAAAAGAAGGAAGAAGAGGAAAAUGAGGAAAAUGAAGAGGAUGAGGAGAAGAAAGAUGAAGAAGAAGAUGAUGAUGAU